UACGUAGGGACCAAGCGUUGUUCGGAUUUACUGGGCGUAAAGGGCGCGUAGGCGGCUUGACAAGUCACUUGUGAAAUCUCCGGGCUUAACUCGGAACGGCCAAGUGAAACUGUCAUGCUAGAGUGCAGAAGGGGCAAUCGGAAUUCUUGGUGUAGCGGUGAAAUGCGUAGAUAUCAAGAGGAACACCUGAGGUGAAGACGGCUUUCUGGACAACUCCUGACGCUGAGACACGAAAGCGUGGGUAGCAAACAGG
rnacentral:rRNA from 1 species